GACGAACGCUGGCGGCGUGCUUAACACAUGCAAGUCGAGCGGUAAGGCCCUUUCGGGGGUACGACGAGCGGCGAACGGGUGAGUAACACGUGGGUGACCUGCCUCUAGCUCUGGGAUAAGCCUGGGAAGGCUGGGUCUAAUACCGGAUAUGACCUCGCGGUGCAUGUUGCGGGGUGGAAAGCCUUGUGCGGCUAGGGAUGGGCCCGCGGCCUAUCAGCUUGUUGGUGGGGUGANGGCCUACCAAGGCGACGACGGGUAGCCGGCCUGAGAGGGCGACCGGCCACACUGGGACUGAGACACGGCCCAGACUCCUACGGGAGGCAGCAGUGGGGAAUCCUGCGCAAUGGGCGAAAGCCUGACGCAGCGACGCCGCGUGAGGGAU
rnacentral:rRNA from 1 species